GAUUAUCAACUUUCGAUGGUAGGAUAGAGGCCUACCAUGGUGGUAACGGGUAACGGGGUGUUAGGGCACGACACCGGAGAGGGAGCNUGAGAAACGGCUACCACAUCCAAGGAUGGCAGCAGGCGCGCAAAUUACCCAAUCCCGACACGGGGAGGUAGUGACAAUAAAUAACAAUACGGGGUUCUUUUGGAUUUCGUAAUUGGAAUGAGUACAAUUUAAAUCUCUUAACGAGGAACAAUUGGAGGGCAAGUCUGGUGCCAGCAGCCGCGGUAAUUCCAGCUCCAAUAGCGUAUAUUAAAGUUGCUGCAGUUAAAAAGCUCGUAGUUGAAUUUCGGGACUAAUAUGUCGGUCGUGCCUAGGUACGUACUGGCUUAUUGGUUUCUCCUUUCUGAAGAACCAUGAUGUCAUUUAUUUGGUGUCGUGGGGAAUCAGGACUGUUACUUUGAAAAAAUUAGAGUGUUUAAAGCAGGCUCACGCUUGAAUACAUUAGCAUGGAAUAAUGAAAUAGGACGUUUGAUUCUAUUUUGUUGGUUUCUAGGAUCGACGUAAUGAUUAAUAGGGAUAGUUGGGGGCAUUAGUAUUCAAUUGUCAGAGGUGAAAUUCUUGGAUUUAUUGAAGACUAACUACUGCGAAAGCAUUUGCCAAGGAUGUUUUCAUUAAUCAAGAACGAAAGUUAGGGGAUCGAAGACGAUCAGAUACCGUCGUAGUCUUAACCAUAAACUAUGCCGACUAGGGAUCGGAUGAUGUUAAUUUUUUAAUGACUCAUUCGGCGCCUUACGGGAAACCAAAGUGUUUGGGUU
rnacentral:rRNA from 1 species